AUGGUUAAGUGACUAAGCGUACACGGUGGAUGCCUUGGCAGUCAGAGGCGAUGAAGGACGUAUUAACUUGCGAUAAGCCCAGAUUAGGUAGUAAAAACCAUUUGAGUCUGGGAUUUCCGAAUGGGGAAACCCAAUACCAUAAGGUAUUACUGUUGAGUGAAUACAUAGCUCAACAGGGCGAACCGGGGGAACUGAAACAUCUAAGUACCCCGAGGAAAAGAAAUCAACCGAGAUUCCGAAAGUAGCGGCGAGCGAAAUUGGACUAGCCCUUAAGCUUUACACGCGUUAGACGAACAGCCUGGAAAGGCCGACGAUACAGGGUGAUAGUCCCGUAGUUGACGACGUGUGUUCAGUGAAAUUGAGUACGGCGGGACACGUGAUAUCCUGUCUGAAUAUGGGGGG
rnacentral:rRNA from 1 species